UUAGGAGCGAGCUGUUAUGGUUUUAUUUAGGUUAUUAUAAGCGCUUGGGUGUCGAAAUAAGUGUAUAAGGUACCGCAGUGUGUAAAGAGAUAUUAGAGAUUUAACCAACUGGAUACCAGUAAUACACACACAGUGUCGUUGGGGGGCUGUGCUCAGCUGCUGCCAUACACUAACACGCUGCUGUUACUGUGAAGAUCACGUACAAUACACAUCACUGCAUUUGCCAGUAAAGGAGAAACAUUAUAAGAAUAUCUGACAAAUUCAGUUGCUGAACAAAACAAUGUCUGACAAGACCGAGAACCAAACCUCAGACUGUUCUGAUGCACACGGAGAUGAAGAUAACACUGAUGUAGUGAAAGAUGAGAUAACAGAAGAUCUGUGUGUGAGGCGUCAGCUGGGAUCCCUGGAUGAGCAAAC